AAAAAAUAAUGUAAUUUGGCUCGAUGUAAUACCGUUGAUGUAAAAAAAUUCCGAUGUAAUCGUGUUUUCCAGAUACACAAUCACACCGGUUCGAUGUUAUAUUACAUCAUUCUGAAAUUACACAAAAAUUGAAUUAAGUUUUUUUCAUUAUGUUGGGAAUAUGUAAUAUUUACAUUAAAGGAAUGUGAAUAUUACACACAAACAGCUGCAACCAAGUGGUUCCGACUAAGUUGGGUAGAAUUACACGAAAUCGAUGUAUGAUCGCAUAUUUUUGAAAUGCGAUAUUGAAUCUAGCAACACAGUUCUGAUUUUGUUGUGCUCGGACGGCUCGGACUAACAAGCUGCCAUUUUUAUUUUACCGCAACCGAUGAAUGCUGUUUGUUUGGAAAAUCAUUGACGGCAAUGUUAUACAUUGUAAUCAGCAUUCUUAAAUAAAGAAACAUCUAAAUCAGCCUACAAGCCAUAGAGAACGCCGUCAGGAAUUAAUCUGCGAUAAUCAAGAAUCGGGAAAAUGCCAGAUCGAGCGAAAGGAAAACGGUUCGAGUACGAAAAACCGCCACCAACACCAGAUCAGCAGGUAGUCCACCAAAUGCGUUGGCACCAACUACGUCCCGCCUGCUGCACUUCGGACCAGCGAUGGAUCGGAGAUCGUGCUACGGUAGCCGCUCGCUGUACCAUGUUGCGGUAACAAAUUCUCGACCUCGAAUCAUCCGGAAGAACAAAUAAAAAGAAAGUAUAACUGGAAGAUGGAGAUAUCUAUGUACACAACUUCCCCCACAGCAACGUUCCGUCAACAGAUACCGGGAAACUCAACCUGUUUGGAUGAAGAUAACGAUUCCAUCGCAAUAGCACCGGUCAAAGCGAAUCUUAGA